UUGAUUAGUCUACUUUCCAUUUCUGUUUCAAGAUGGAACUGAGCAAUUCUUUCCUUCCUGGUUCAUGACUCGGAAUAUACCAGAUGCACGUUGCUGCGCAGGUGUUUCUUCAUGGUGAUGCAAACAAGGUAGACAUCCACUGCUGGCUGGCUGGUGUAGUGGACCCGAAAUGGGAGGUUGCCCUCAUGGUGAUGCUUCCUGUUCCUUUGCUUGGGGUAUGUUAGGAUCUGUUCCUUCGAAAUCCAGUUGAGUGAACUGACCUUGAUGAGCUGCCCUCACUCCACACUGAAUCAGUAAAAAACCCAAGAAAGUUGUAACGUGGCCAUAUCAGAUGAAGGUGUUCCAGUUUGCUUUAAUCCUGACUCCAGUAACCUGGAAACUGUCUACCCAGCUACAUGCAAAAACUUGGAGGGAUCGUCCAUUGAGCCAAAUUUCAUUAUCUGCCAGGCUUGCAAGGAAGUCUGCUUAGGCUGAAAGAUGGCAGGAAUCUGUUGGUAGUGGGGAGAUGUCUCAAGAAAAGCUGUAAUAGUGUUAGGAAUUUAUUGUGGUAUUUCUUGGCCAAAAGAAGAUGAGCAAUAAGACAAAAACAUUAUCCUGCCAAGAAUAUGCUCAAGGAGGUGGGCACUGAAAAGGUGUGGGGCCUUUACUGUGGCAUGAUGUUCAUCUCCUCUGGAAGUUCAGCCUUCAGCAGCUGCGUGGGGACUUGUGCCUCAUCUGACAGUACUGUCUGCUAGGGCAAACCAUGCUACAUGGGCAGCAGCUUUGUGGCCUUCCCCCUUGGUUGAAAGCUAGGAGCCACCUUCGUGCUUUACAGCAUGGCUG